rnacentral:rRNA from 1 species
GACGAACGCUGGCGGCGUGCUUAACACAUGCAAGUCGAACGAUGAACCACUUCGGUGGGAUUAGUGGCGAACGGGUGAGUAACACGUGGGCAAUCUGCCCUGCACUCUGGGACAAGCCCUGGAAACGGGGUCGUAAUACCGGAUACCACCAUCGCAGGCAUCUGUGGUGGUUGAAAGCUCCGGCGGUGCAGGAUGAGCCCGCGGCCUAUCAGCUUGUUGGUGAGGAGAAGCUCACC